UUUCCGUAGGUGAACCUGCGGAAGGAUCAUUAUCGAGUUUUGACUGGGCUGUAGCCGGCCUUCCGAGGCAUGUGCACGUCAUGCUCUUCCCUUCUACACCCGUGCACUUACUGUGGGUAUCAGAGCGUGAAGCUUGCUCUUUUACCGGAGCUUGUGCGGCGCGUCUCUGCCUGAGUUUAUCACAAACACUCUAAAAUAUCAGAAUGUGUAUUACCAUGUAACGCAUAUAUAUAAAACUUUCAACAACGGAUCUCUUGGCUCUC
rnacentral:misc_RNA from 1 species